rnacentral:rRNA from 1 species
AGAGUUUGAUCCUGGCUCAGAAUGAACGCUAGCGGCGUGCUUAACACAUGCAAGUCGUACGAGAACUCUUUAGCUUGCUAAAGAUAGUAAAGUGGCGCACGGGUGAGUAACGCGUGGGUAAUUUACCUCUGAAUUUGGGAUAACUCCGCUAAAGCGGGGCUAAUACCGGAUAAUAUUUCAGGAUCUUCGGGUUUUGAAAUCAAAAGUGGCCUCUACAUGUAAGCUACUGUUUGGAGAUGAGCCCGCGUACCAUUAGCUUGUUGGUAGGGUAAUGGCCUACCAAGGCUACGAUGGUUAGCUGGUCUGAGAGGAUGAUCAGCCACACUGGAACUGACACACGGUCCAGACUCCUACGGGAGGCAGCAGUGGGGAAUUUUGCGCAAUGGGGGAAACCCUGACGCAGCAACGCCGCGUGAGUGAUGAAGGCUUUCGGGUCGUAAAGCUCUGUCAAGUGGGAAGAGCAUGAGAAAUGUUAAUAUCAUUUUUCACUGACGGUACCACUGAAGGAAGCACCGGCUAACUCCGUGCCAGCAGCCGCGGUAAUACGGGGGGUGCAAGCGUUAUUCGGAAUUAUUGGGCGUAAAGGGCGCGUAGGCGGUCUUUUAAGUCAGAUGUGAAAGCCCGGGGCUUAACCCCGGAAGUGCAUUUGAAACUGAAAGACUUGAGUAUGGGAGAGGGAAGUGGAAUUCCUGGUGUAGAGGUGAAAUUCGUAGAUAUCAGGAGGAACACCGGUGGCGAAGGCGACUUCCUGGACCAAUACUGACGCUGAGGCGCGAAGGCGUGGGGAGCAAACAGGAUUAGAUACCCUGGUAGUCCACGCAGUAAACGAUGAACACUAGGUGUAGCGGGUAUUGACCCCUGCUGUGCCGCAGUUAACGCAUUAAGUGUUCCGCCUGGGGAGUACGACCGCAAGGUUAAAACUCAAAUGAAUUGACGG